GAUGAACGCUAGCGGCAGGCUUAACACAUGCAAGUCGAGGGGUAUUGGUUUUCGGACCAAGAGACCGGCGCACGGGUGCGUAACGCGUAUGCAAUCUACCUUUUGCAGAGGGAUAGCCCAGAGAAAUUUGGAUUAAUACCUCAUAGUAUAGUACUUUGGCAUCAAGGAACUAUUAAAGUCACAACGGCAAAGAUGAGCAUGCGUCCCAUUAGCUAGUUGGUAAGGUAACGGCUUACCAAGGCUACGAUGGGUAGGGGUCCUGAGAGGGAGAUCCCCCACACUGGUACUGAGACACGGACCAGACUCCUACAGGAGGCAGCAGUGAGGAAUAUUGGACAAUGGGCGCAAGCCUGAUCCAGCCAUGACCGCGUGCAGGAUGACGGUCCUA
rnacentral:rRNA from 1 species